ensembl:misc_RNA 7SK 7SK RNA
GGAUGUGAGGGCGAUCUGGCUGCGACAUCUGUCACCCCAUUGAUAGCCAGGGUUGAUUCAGCUGAUCUGACUGGCUAGGCUAGGCAGGUGGGUCCCCUUCCUCCCUCAACGCUCCAUGAGCAUCCCUCGGGAAGCUGCACGCUCAGUCGAAGAGGACAGCCUUCCCUGAAUAGAGAAGGACCAGUCUUCGGUCAAGGGUAUACGAGUAGCAGAGCUCCCCUGCUAGAACCUUCAAACAAGCUCUCAAGGAAUAACCCUGGUGGCAAAUAAAUAAAUAAAUAAAUAAAUAAGCAUUACAACAACAGCAAUAGGACUCUGU